AUGUCAGGAGGACAUCUCCUGGUCAGUUGCUUGUAUCGUUCCCAAGCUUCAUAGAGGGAUUCACCCUCUUUUUAUCUCAAGGUUUAAACUUCUACCCUGAGCUU